AUUGAACGCUGGCGGCAGGCCUAACACAUGCAAGUCGAACGGUAACAGGAAGAAGCUUGCUUCUUUGCUGACGAGUGGCGGACGGGUGAGUAAUGUCUGGGAAACUGCCUGAUGGAGGGGGAUAACUACUGGAAACGGUAGCUAAUACCGCAUAACGUCGCAAGACCAAAGAGGGGGACCUCCGGGCCUCUUGCCAUCGGAUGUGCCCAGAUGGGAUUAGCUAGUAGGUGGGGUAACGGCUCACCUAGGCGACGAUCCCUAGCUGGUCUGAGAGGAUGACCAGCCACACUGGAACUGAGACACGGUCCAGACUCCUACGGGAGGCAGCAGUGGGGAAUAUUGCACAAUGGGCGCAAGCCUGAUGCAGCCAUGCCGCGUGUAUGAAGAAGGCCUUCGGGUUGUAAAGUACUUUCAGCGGGGAGGAAGGGAGUAAAGUUAAUACCUUUGCUCAUUGACGUUACCCGCAAAAGAAGCACCGGCUAACUCCGUG
rnacentral:rRNA from 1 species